CUUUAUUUUUCUGCUCUUUUUUUUUCAUUUUUCAUUUUUUUUCAUUCUUCUUCUUCUGAAAGAAAGAAGAAAGGAGUGAAAUGUUCGGAAAAGUGAAUGAGUGUGAAACAAAUUCACAAUU
rnacentral:ribozyme from 13 species